UCGAUCAAAUGCAGAAUCAGAACCAGUUAGACUCGCAUUAAUUUCGUCUAGUCAUCUUUUCGUUAGCCUGCUUCGUACAGUACGUAGGCUCCGCUUAUCGUCUAAGGUUGCGUGACUGAAGAAGAGUAUCAUGGGGUAAGAGGAACGCUUCUUGACUCGAUACACGAGAAAAGAAGCGCCGUGGUUGGUCAGGAGGUUGGGAAAGAACAAAGGACU